GGGUCACUUCUGCUUGGGGGGGGGCCUGGGGACAGAGGGGACAGGGUCAGCCCCCCUCACCUCCCAGUCUCCCAGUCCUCCCAGUCCCUCCCAGUCCUCCCAGUCUUCUCCCAGUAACUCCCAGUCCCCUCCCAGUAACUCCCAGUCGACUCCAGUCCCCUCCCAGUUGCUCCCAGUCCCCUCCCAGUAACUCCCAGUCCCCUCCCAGUCCUUCCCAGUUGCUCCCAGUCCCCUCUCAAUCCUUCCCAGUUGCUCCCAGUUGCUCCCAGUCCCCUCUCAAUCCUUCCCAGUUGCUCCCAGUCCCCUCUCAAUCCUUCCCAGUCACUCCCAGCCCCCUCUCAAUCCUUCCCAGUUGCUCCUAGCCACUCCCAGUUGCUCCCAGUCCCCUCUCAAUCCUUCCCAGCUGCUCCCAGUCCACUCCCAGUUGUUCCCAGUCCCCCCCAAUCCCCUCCCAGUCCCCUCUCAAUCCUUCCCAGUUGCUCCCAGUCCCCUCUUAAUCCUUCCCAGUCGCUCCCAGUCCACUCCCAGUUGCUCCCAGUCCCCCCCAAUCCCCUCCCAGUCCCCUCUUAAUCCUUCCCAGUCACUCCCAGUCCACUCCCAGUUGCUCCCAGUCCCCCCAAUCCCCUUCCAAUCCCCUCCGAAUCCUUCCCAGUUGCUCCCAGUCCCCCCCAAUCCCCUCCCAGUCCCUCCCAGUGCCUCCCAGUCCCACCUGUAGACGCCCACCACCACGGCGUGGUCGCGCUCGUAGGGCUCGAGCGUGAGCUGCUCCUGGGGCCGCAGCUUCUCCUGCUGCAGCUUCUUCACCUCCGAGGCGAACACGGCCUCGGGCGCCGCCGUCGAGUCGAUGCA
rnacentral:lncRNA from 1 species